AGUUUUACGCCCCUGUUGUUCCUGAUGCGUCCAGUAGGGGGAGGCUGUACAGUAUGAGCCAUCAGAACAGAAGCGACACGAAUAAGAGAUGGGAAAUGCCUGCAUGAAACUCGUCUAUGAAGAGGGCAAAGACAUGUACACUGCCAACAUGCAUGUUAUUGCCACAAUCCUCUAGCCUACUCUCCAGAUAAUGCUUUCAUGAAGGAUGCCCUUGUGUUCCCUGCAUGAACACAAGCCACCGGCCCAGAUCAUUAUCUGUUAUGU